AGAGUUUGAUCCUGGCUCAGGAUGAACGCUGGCGGCGUGCCUAAUACAUGCAAGUCGAACGCUUCACUUCGGUGAAGAGUGGCGAACGGGUGAGUAAUACAUAAGUAACCUGGCAUCUACAGGGGGAUAACUGAUGGAAACGUCAGCUAAGACCGCAUAGGUGUAGAGAUCGCAUGAACUCUAUAUGAAAAGUGCUACGGGACUGGUAGAUGAUGGACUUAUGGCGCAUUAGCUGGUUGGUAGGGUAACGGCCUACCAAGGCGACGAUGCGUAGCCGACCUGAGAGGGUGACCGGCCACACUGGGACUGAGACACGGCCCAGACUCCUACGGGAGGCAGCAGUAGGGAAUCUUCGGCAAUGGGGGCAACCCUGACCGAGCAACGCCGCGUGAGUGAAGAAGGUUUUCGGAUCGUAAAGCUCUGUUGUAAGUCAAGAACGGGUGUGAGAGUGGAAAGUUCACACUGUGACGGUAGCUUACCAGAAAGGGACGGCUAACUACGUGCCAGCAGCCGCGGUAAUACGUAGGUCCCGAGCGUUGUCCGGAUUUAUUGGGCGUAAAGCGAGCGCAGGCGGUUUGAUAAGUCUGAAGUUAAAGGCUGUGGCUCAACCAUAGUUCGCUUUGGAAACUGUCAAACUUGAGUGCAGAAGGGGAGAGUGGAAUUCCAUGUGUAGCGGUGAAAUGCGUAGAUAUAUGGAGGAACACCGGUGGCGAAAGCGGCUCUCUGGUCUGUAACUGACGCUGAGGCUCGAAAGCGUGGGGAGCGAACAGGAUUAGAUACCCUGGUAGUCCACGCCGUAAACGAUGAGUGCUAGGUGUCGGAGGGGAACCUUCGGUGCCGGAGCAAACGCAAUAAGCACUCCACCUGGGGAGUACGAUCGCAAGAUUGAAACUCAAAGGAAUUGACGGGGGCCCGCACAAGCGGUGGAGCAUGU
rnacentral:rRNA from 1 species